CAGAGGUCCCGAGCGUUGUUCGGAUUCACUGGGCGUAAAGGGUGCGUAGGUGGUGAGGUAAGUCGGAUGUGAAAUCUCCGGGCUCAACCCGGAAAUGGCAUUGGAAACUACCUUGCUGGAGGAUUUGAGGGGGGAUUGGAAUACUUGGUGUAGCAGUGAGAUGCGUAGAUAUCAAGUGGAACACCAGUGGCGAAGGCGAAUCCCUGGAAAAUACCUGACACUGAGGCACGAAAGCUAGGGGAGCAAACAGGAUUAGAUACCCUGGUAGUCCUAGCCCUAAACGGUGCUUGCUUGCUGUAAGAGGAAUCGACCCCUCUUGUGGCGGAGCUAACGCGUUAAGCAAGCCGCCUGGGAAGUACGGUCGCAAGAUUA
rnacentral:rRNA from 1 species